AUAUAUAUAUAUAUAUAGGUUUUAUAUAUGGGACAAAGAAGUUAUUCUAACAGUUUGGACAUGAAAAAUGUCAAAUGUUCGAGGCACUCCGCACCUUUAUAAAGACACAAGAAUACAAAUACAAUCACAUGAUAUAUAAACAGUACUAGAAAAUACAAUAAGUUACAGUAAGACUAGUAUUGCUGGAAGUAGUUGAAAUAAUACCUCGGCAUUUGUACGCGCGGGACAUUUUCAGAUGUCUUGGCCGUUGGUCACAUAGCCUUCCGUCAUAAAAUUUGACAUUUUUCAUAUCCACACUGGUAGAAUUACUUCUUUGUCCCAGUAAUUUGUAUCCUGCAGACAAACUUUUGUAAGGAUCCAGUGUUACCCGGAUUCUUACCGUUAAUAUUACUUCUUUGACCAUAUAGGUUUAUAUAGGUAUACUGGACAUGACCAAAUACGGAGGGAAUUGUGAGGUAAUAUAUAUAUAGGUUUAUAUAGGUAUACUGGACAUGACCAAAUAUGGAGGGAAUUUGACGUAAUAUAUAAAGGAUUAUAUAGGUAAACUGGACAUGACCAAAUACGGAGCGAGUUGUGACGUAAUAUAUAUAUAGGUUUAUAUAGGUAUACUGGACAUGACCAAAUAUGGAGGGAAUUUGACGUAAUAUAUAAAGGAUUAUAUAGGUAAACUGGACAUGACCAAAUACGGACGGAAUUGUGACGUAAUAUAUAUAGGUUUAUAUAGGUAUACUGGACAUGACCAAAUACGGAGGGAAUUGUGACGUAAUAUAUAUAUAGGUUUAUAUAGGUAUACUGGACAUGACCAAAUAUGGAGGGAAUUGUGACGUAACAUAUAAAGGAUUAUAUAGGUAAACUGGACAUGACCAAAUACGGAGGGAAUUGUGACGUAAUAUAUAUAUAUAGGUUUAUAUAGGUAUACUGGACAUGACCAAAUAUGGAGGGAAUUGUGACGUAAUAUAUAAAGGAUUAUAUAGGUAAACUGGACAUGACCAAAUACGGAGGGAAUUGUGACGUAAUAUAUAAAGGAUUAUAUAGGUAAACUGGACAUGACCAAAUACGGAGGGAAUUGUGACGUAAUAUAUAUAUAGGUUGAUAUAGGUAAGCUGGACAUGACCAAAUACGGAGGGAAUUGUGACGUAAUAUAUAAAGGAUUAUAUAGGUAAACUGGACAUGACCAAAUACGGAGGGAAUUGUGACGUAAUGUAUAUAUAGGUUUAUAUAGGUAAACUGGACAUGACCAAAUACGGAGGGAAUUGUGACGUUAUAUAUGAAGGAUUAUAUAGGUAAACUGGACAUGACCAAAUACGGAGGGAAUUGUGACGUAAUAUAUAAAGGAUUAUAUAGGUAAACUGGACAUGACCAAAUACGGAGGGAAUUGUGACGUAAUAUAUAAAGGAUUAUAUAGGUAAACUGGACAUGACCAAAUACGGAGGGAAUUGUGACGUAAUAUAUAUAUAGGUUUAUAUAGGUAUACUGGACAUGGCCAAAUAUGGAGGGAAUUGUGACGUAAUAUAUGAAGGAUUAUAUAGGUAAACUGGACAUGACCAAAUACGGAGGGAAUUGUGACGUAAUAUAUAUAUAUAUAGGUUUAUAUAGGUAUACUGGACAUGACAAAAAAUGAAAGACUAAUAUUGUUUGCAUUCGUUAAAUAUACUUUCACUAAGUAUAUUUCAUUAUUAAAUUUACAUAACUUCUGUUAACUUAUUCACUGAAAUCCAAACAGUAGGAGUACGGGAAAUAAAAACCGUAACAUCAAUUAUGUUUAAUUGUUUUUUCUUUAAAAAAACAAGCCUUUAAUUGAAGUUUCUUACAAUGCUUUUCCUGUGUCAUCAAAGCUUCAAAAUAUGUUUUAAUUAAUUUCAUACAAAUAAAAGAUAUCUUUUAAAGA